ensembl:lncRNA
CACAAAAUAAUUAAUGCAACUAUCUUUUACUUUCCUUGGAUUUUACUUUGACUUCUUUAAGAAAUUGUCUAAUGGCUGAAUGGCUUGUCCUCCUUCCCUUCUUCCUCCUUCCCUUCUUCCUCCCUCCCUCCCUCCCUUCCUUCCUCCCUUCCUUCCUUCCCCACAAUGUGCCAAGCAGGGAUGCAGACACAGGAGUGAGCAAGGGAGACGUGCAAGUGCUCCUGGACUCUUGUCCUUCAGUGAAAACGGGCAGAGGUAGAGGAGUCCAGGGCACGGUUGGGGAAGAUCAGCAAACAGUGGCGGAAUGCGACCUGAUGCAGAGUCCCCCUACCCACAGUCAGGGACCAGCGAGGGCAGAGGGAAAGCAACCUGAAGCCUGGCAGAGAAGCUGGAGUACAGGGGCUGAGCAGAGACAAGAGAUAGAGUCUUUGGAAGCAACAGCAUUCAAAGGUGGAGAGAGUGGCCUGUUUGACCUCCUCCCCGGGAAAAUUGUGGCUUCUGUGGACGCUUGCUGAAGUAAUGACCACCGUCUGCGGAAUAGCCAGCGUUCUCAAGCUGCCUUCGGGACUUCCCGGAGAGCGUCUCCCUGGAUCUCCCCAGCACUCCAGAGGCGUCUGCCUCAUUUACAUCUGAAGAUGCUGUUGCUCGGGUGACACGUGGCAUGGGGACCCCCUUCCCUCCAGCACUGGAGCGAGUGCCCCUUUCAGCAUAUUCGCUUUAAGCUCUGCAUUAAAUUCUCAAUUUGAACUUGAUCCCAGUUGUUGGGAGCAGCCAGUUUAGCGACGAGAGCCUUUGUUUGCCUCCCAAGCACAAAGAGCUCCUGAAAGGCACGUGGAAAGAUGAACCCCUUUUCAGGACGUGUCUGUUAAGAGUACGACUUUAUAACUGUAGGCCCACACCCGGCGCAGGCUCAAAUGCGUCUUUCUUGGCGAGACAUAUUGGAGACAUAUGGACCGAGCAAUGGAAAGAUCUACGGUGAUCCUCAAGCAGCCAGGGUGGGGGAAGAAGAAGCUCCGGCGUGAGGAGGUGGCGAGGAGCAACAGCAAGCUGUUCGGAUGUGAUGAGAUGCUUGUAGGUUCUCUUGAAUAGACUGCUGACAUUCCCGUGUGGUUCACAUUUACCUGGGGUGCACCUGAGUUCUUGUUACUGUCUAGAAGUCGGGCUGUGAAGACCUCCAAAGUCAUGAAUUGGCACUGCCUGUGUUGAUCUUCAGUCUCACAACUCCAUCAGCCAGAAUCAACUCAAACAAUUAUUUUUAUUAUGGUAAGAAGGUUUAACGGGAAAUCUAUUUUCUUAGCAUUUUUCAGUGUAAAGCACAGUGCUGUUGGUCAUGGGCACAGUGUUACACAGCCCGUCUCUAUCAGUUUCUUGUCUUUAUACCUAGUGAACACCAGGUGUUGAGCCUUCUCUCUGUUGACACUUGACAUCCGCUAGACAGCAUCUUCCCAUUUCCUCUUCCAUAGCCCUUGGCCAGAGGCACUCUAUUUUCUAUCUCUGAGCCCGACCAUUUUCAAUAUCUCAUAUAACUGCAGCCAUGUGGCAUUUGUCUUUCUGUGGCCACAGUGCACCUUGCACCUACUGUCAUUCACUUAAUUCACCUGGGACCCAAUCUUUCAGCUCAGCGCAGAGCCUGGAAUACAGAGGAGCACAUGUUGUUCGGUUGCACAGAGAGAAGGAUCUGUUCAAAUACAUGUCUUUACAAAAAAUCAACUCACGGAUAAAUACUAAAGGUGACAACAUAGCACAGGGGAUAGCAAUAAUAGCAGUAUUCAUUUGCUGAGAGUUUACUGUGGACCAGGUAUAGUGCUCAGUUUUGCAUUACUUGAAUCCCACAACUCUAGUGGUAAGUUUUAUGGUCUUCAUUUUAUGGUUAAGUAAUGGUAUUUUAAGGUCUGAGGAAUAGCCAGGAAGGCAACAAUAUGAUUGCAGUUGGGCCACACACUGGAGAUUACAUGCUUAUCUAAUGACUAUUAAUUACCCUGAAUUUCAGUAUUGUCUGUACUCUUAUGGAUAUCUGAGCAAUCAUUGUAGUUAUCUGGCCACACUUUUCCCUCACAUAGAGUCCAUUUGGUCACUCACUUUUGGCCUUACCAUUCUGGGUGAUGUGGGUAUUUUAGAUGCUCUUAUUAUUUCAGUGCUCAAACCCUUAAAUAGGUGUUGUUCAAAAUGAAUUUAUCAAGUCACAGUUUUAAGUUUUUAAUCGUGUUUCCUUUUUCAAGUUGGAACAUUUCAAUCUGAUUUACUGUUGAACUAAGAUGAAUCGACUAUUCUCUUAGAGUAAAAACUUUUGCUUCUUGAUUCUUAAGCAAUGUCCCUCAAUGCCCUAUGACAUGUACAUAGCCAAAGUGCAUCCUGGCAUCCAGAAAUGAUAUUUACGGGGAGGGAAGACUAUUGUAGAAUAGCUUUACUAGGAAUCUCUCUCUCUCCCUCCCUCUCUCCCUCUCCAUUAUAUAUUGGGGAGCACCAAUGACAUUACUAAUAAAUAAACAUUAGCACUGAAAACAGCUGUGGCCAGAACACUUCUAAUGGGAAAUUUUUCAGGAAAUACCACCAUGUGUCAAAACACAGACUCCAAGCACUAGGAGAUCGAUGCUCUAUUCCUAAAGCAUUUGAAUACACUUUAUAUCAUCCAGCGGAGUAUAAAACGUAAAAAACUUAAAAAUAAAAAUAGUUCCUAAAGGAUAACUUAAAAAAUCAGCUCAAGCUUAUUUUCUCAUUAAUUUCAUGCUCAUUAAUUUCAUAAUUUAGUGUGUUGUAGAACUGCCCUGAACUACGGGCCUGUGAAGAACAUCUGAGGCUAGAUGCUGGGGAGCUGCAGAGCAGGUAAAUAACCAACGGUUGGCUUGGCACAGGCACACAUUUUAAUUACACUCAAUUUAUGCUAGGUCAGCAUUCCAAGGGUUAUCUGAGCUGUGCCUCACCUUCCACAUGGAAGGUCUGUCACCGACCUUGAAGGAAGAGAGUUAAUCAUGAAUAGCAAUUCGGCAAUUGGCCACGUCAUUAAAUAACUGGGGUGGGGAGGGGGAGAGUUCAUGGGUUAAAAACGUGAAGCUCAUGAUUCUGCCUACUGAAGCCUCAGGUUUUAUGGUCUCUUUCUAAGCAGGGACAGGCACGCUCUCAGACACCACAUUUUCUUUCCAGCUGCCCACGUGGGCUGCACUUAGGAGCUCUGUCUCCAGCUGUGUCUGGGAUUGUGUGACUUCAGCAGCUCCCAUGGAGGGGAAACUCGCCAGCCUCCUGCCUGAUGUCUAACAGACAGCAAAUGAGUGCAGGGCCUCUGGGAAGAGACUUGCCUGAAUUCCUGCCAAGGAAGCUGCAGAAUGGAAAGUGGGGUAUGAAUAUGUAACAGCAGCCACUGUCAGUUGAUCCCUCUGUCUUUGGGAGGCAUCAUUUCAUUCGCUGUGGAAGAACAGAGGGCACUUUGAAAUGGCCUGAGAUAGGCCUCUUUAGCGAUACAGUUUAAUCCGAUCAUAGAGCAUCUGUCUUGGAUGACAUCGUCUUCAGUGCUGAUUCAGGAGUUUUCAACAAAUUCAAAUGUCCUUCCCUUGCCCAGGAAGGAAGAUGGGGAAAGAUUGCAAGAAAGCCAGAAGCCCUGCAUGGUGUUGUACAUUUAUUAUCCAGCCCUUCAAGCACUCUGAAAAAAUAAUGUCCCCAAUGUUGUCCAGCAGGCCACAGGUUAUAAAAUAUAUGAAAGCAGAAGCCAUCCUGCCAUGGUACCCAGAAGAAAGUAUCCUGGUCAUCGUGGAAGGAAUGAGUGAAGGACAAUGUGAUUCUGCAGCAGUCAUUUUAGCUCUUUUAGAUUUCACCCCAAAGCAGAGGCAGAGGAAGGUAAUGGGUUGGUGUAAAUACUAUUUAGAGCACUUUUCAUCUCUUGGCAGUUUUGGAUAGAACAACCUUAAACGAAAAGAGCAAAAUAAUCAAGGAUGAGGAAAAAUGAUUGUCCAGGAUACACAGACACAUGAGUCUUGUCAACCUCAAGAGAUCAUUGAGAAAACCAAAUGAUUCAAGACAUGGCUAUUUUUCCAGAUUGGGAUGGAAGAGAAAACAAACGUACCACAUGCACCAUGAUACCAGCAACAGCAGAGAGCACAAACAUCUUAUGGAUGCAGCAAAUGAGGCUGGGUGGUGAGGCCCAGGCAAGCCGGAAGGUUGGACACCCACACUUUACAGUAACAUCAACCAAGCAUUGCCAGAGGCUCUCCUGGAAUCCCCCUACAGGGGUUUCUGCUUCUGUGAUUGUCAGGACUCUGUCACAUGGCCACCUAACUGCAAGUGAAGGGUCUCAUUAAGUUGCCCAGGCUGACUUAGAACUCAUGAUCCUCCCACCUGAGCUUCCCAAGUAGCUGGAACUACAGUUUUUCCACUCUGGGCCAGUGUGUCAUAGUAGGAAUAGGGAUGCUGAGAAGAAGGCAUUGCUUUGGCAAGGAGUGAACCCUGGCUACAAAACAGGACAUGGGAAAGGAGGACCCAGGACCACUCAAGCACUGGAUAUUUCAGACAGGGAGUUUUGGAAAAGUAUACAUAUGGAGGUUGAAGAAAUGGACACUGGCUCGCUGUCCAUGCCUGAAUACCCCUUGAACAAUUUCAUGAACUCCCAUGGGCACCCAUACUACAAUUUAUAGACUCUUGUUCUAAACUUCAAUGGUUUCUGAAUGGAUGAAGGACUGAGGAGC